rnacentral:rRNA from 1 species
CAGUCGAGGGGUAACAUUGUAGCUUGCUACAGAUGACGACCGGCGCACGGGUGAGUAACGCGUAUGCAACCUGCCUUUGACAGGGGGAUAGCCCGGAGAAAUCCGGAUUAAUAUCCCAUGGUAUUUACAGAUCGCAUGGUUUGUAAAUUAAAGAUUUUAUCGGUCAAAGAUGGGCAUGCGUGACAUUAGCUAGUUGGUAAGGUAACGGCUUACCAAGGCUGCGAUGUCUAGGGGUUCUGAGAGGAUGAUCCCCCACACUGGUACUGAGACACGGACCAGACUCCUACGGGAGGCAGCAGUGAGGAAUAUUGGUCAAUGGGCGCAAGCCUGAACCAGCCAUCCCGCGUGAAGGAAGACUGCCCUAUGGGUUGUAAACUUCUUUUCUGCACCAAGAAUGGUUACUACGUGUAGUGAUUUGACGGUAGUGCAGGAAUAAGCAUCGGCUAACUCCGUGCCAGCAGCCGCGGUAAUACGGAGGAUGCAAGCGUUAUCCGGAUUCAUUGGGUUUAAAGGGUACGUAGGUGGCCAAUUAAGUCAGUGGUGAAAUCCUGCCGCUUAACGGUAGAACUGCCAUUGAAACUGGUUGGCUUGAGUACAGUUGAGGUAAGCGGAAUGUGUAGUGUAGCGGUGAAAUGCUUAGAUAUUACACAGAACCCCGAUUGCGAAGGCAGCUUACUGAACUGUAACUGACACUGAGGUACGAAAGCGUGGGGAGCGAACAGGAUUACAUACCCUGGUAGUCCACACUGUACACGAUGCUCACGCGGCAGCAUGCGAUACAUUGCAUGCGGCCGAACAUAAACUGAUAACUGAUCGAGAUGUCUUGUACAUAUGCAGCAGUGAAACUCAAUGCAUAUAAAGGGUGCCGC